UUUUUGUACAUCACUAAUAAGAAUAAGAACUAUUCUUUCUAUUUCCGCAGCGGCCAUCAUGAGCAGUUGGUUUUCAAUUCUGAUUACAAAUGCCACAUGCCGAAGAGCAUUUUUCCUCGAAUUUGAUGAAAGUAUAAUUAAAUGUUAUAUCUCUCAUUGCAUUUACAGAACGCAGAACGAAUGCGGUCGCUUGCAUUGUCAGCAGUUUGAUGGUGAUUACAAUGUAGUCCAAUAUUAUUAUGGAGAUCCACCGGCCUGGUGCUGCUGUGGUCCCACUGUGUGCUGUGUGUUGCCGGAGCAAUAGUAAGGUGGCUCAGCAUGAGGAAAUUCUGGGAAAAGCUACUCCUAUUUAAAUGAUUCCACUUACAUUACCGAAUCGGGGACACAAAGAACCCGCCACUGAUUUAAGAAUUCUUGCAACCAAUAAUGAUGUGUUGAUGUGAUGGUGGCCUAAGAAAAUUGGAAACCUCGGCUACUCCUUCGUUCGGUGGUUGUUCAGCUCAGGCAGUCCCAUAGAGAUGAGAAGUUACUCCUUGUGGACCCAGUAGCGGAUUGUGAUCAGGACGAUUGCUUUUUAUGAUAAGAAAAGGCAUGCGGCCUUCAUCUACAGGAAUCAAAAUGACUAUGCUGAAUGAAUGAAUGGCUUUAUUUUGGAAAUAUAUGGAAAGAUUCUUGAGGAAACCAAUUUAUAAAUGGAUUUAAUUUGAGUUUGAACCAUUGAUGCAUGGAUUGUGGCAUGGCCCUCUUGUGAGCUAAUGCCACUGGCAGAAUUCUGGAGAACAUCGACUGACUAAAAACUACCACAAUUAUUCCGUGAAUGUUAUCCCUAAUUGAUGAAUAAAAACAAAAGUUGUACUUGUAA